UUUCUUACGUACUUUGGCCUCAUGUUUAAUUAUUUAGCUCUCCUAAAUUAAAUUAAAUUAAAUUAAAACAGUUAUUAUUGAACAUGAUACAGUACUGUUGAACAUGGUACAUGAACCUGAACAGUACUAUUUCAUGUGAAUCUCCUCCAAGGCUUCUUUUCAUUUUACAUCUCACGCUGUAAUUCUUGGAGAGUAUGUAUGCUGUAGCUCGAGUGCAGAAUUCUCAUCAGUUUUAUCUUGGUAUCUCUCCUAAACACUUUACCGGGUGAAGAGCCUGGCACACACAUAAAUGUAUAUUGAAUGAAUCAGUGAUGGAAUGAAAGGAGAAAUGAUGGAUCUCCUAAAUUUUAACUUUUAUAAAAUAUUUUGAUAUAUUCAUGACCUUACUUUAGCAAGCAAUGUACUGAACAUGAUGUAAACUAUUGUUGAUGUAGUGCUUAUAUUGGAAGUGUAAGUAGUUUGUGGCAUGGGAUUGUGACAUAUCCUAGGUUUCCUCAUCUUUUUAUUGAAAUGUCAUUCACAUGCCAUAAAAUCUGCCCUUUUAAAGUAUAUGAUGCUGUGGAUUUUAGUAUAUUUACAGAGUUGUGCAAUCAUCACCACUAUCUAAUUCCAGGAACAUUUCCAUCUACCUAGAAAGAAGCUCCAUACCAGUGAGCUGCCACUCUAAUCCUCCUCUAGAAACAAAUAAUCCAUUUUCUGUCUCUUAUGAUUUGCCUGUUCUGAAUAGUUUAUAAAAAUAAACAUGUGGCCUUUCAUGUCUGACUUCCUUCACUUA